UUGACGGUGGCGAGAGGGGAAAAGGGAAAAAGACGAAGAGCGUUCGCCGGAUAAUCCUUGGAGUCAUUUGUCUGCCGACUGUUGAGACGCUCAUUUGUUCGCGGCGCGAUGACAGAUGACAAUGAAGUAGAGAUCGUGCCACGGUCAUGGAGCGUGGGUUGAUAAAGGUGGAGGAAAGGGGGAAAAAAGCAGCAGCAUACCCCGCCUCUAGCAGUUAGGAUGCAGAUCUGUUUGCCGUUCGUGCCUCAAUUAUUCUCGGAUCAUCGUUGUGUAUCGGUCUGCAGAACAAUCGAAUCGUAUUUGUGUCGCCGUGAUUAAAAACAUAAUGUUCUGUUUCGCAAGCGAUAAGUCGUUCUCUGAAAAGAGAGAAAGAAAAGGAAGCAUCACAUUGAACGUAUUCAUGCUUUUAUUUUUUUUAUUAAAUAUAUACCUAGUUUGUCGAAAGAAGAAAAUAAAGUAAAAUAUCGAAAAAAGCAUCUGGCCAAUCGAAAACGAAGAAACGGAGAGUCGUGAAAAAUGAAACUAAGCGCUGCAAAGCUGAAGGGGAAAUAGACGAAGAAAAGAGAAGAAGAAACUAUCGUUCUCUUCCUGGCUAUUAAAUUUAAUAGCCAAUAUCUCCCCUAUUGCUAGCACUUUUUAUGCCUUUUAUCUCCUUGCGAUUCUUUCAAGAUAAGUAAACAUUGAUUUUCUUUAAUAAAUCAAUCUUUCUUAGAUUGUUGAUCCAUAUUUUUUACAACUUCUUUUUUAAUAACACUUAUUAUUUUUUAUUUAUC